rnacentral:lncRNA from 10 species
GGGUGGAGCUAGGGAAAGCCUUCAUGGAAAGGGUUUCAUCUUUCUGAACAUUCACCACACUGGUGGACAAAUCCUUUUUGUGUGAGGAAGAUGUGGCUGUUGGGAGAGUCAAGUAAUUGAAUGACGUGAAUUUCCUGGAGUUUCCAUAAGUUCCUGUAAAUUUAGCCUCCAACUGAAAUAAACCAACUGAAUGUAAGACAUCAGACCCUAAAGAACCAAAGUUGUUAUUUCUGUGGAAGACCAGCCAACCUAUUCUCACAGCUGAAACAAUGGAUCUGGCCUGCAGAGUGUUAAGGCAUUCUCCAAGUUUCAAAACAAGAGUACACCAUUUUGAAGGCCUAUAAAUAGAAAGAAUUUUUCAAAUAUUAAUUCAGUAAUGACCUCUGUCUUUGGAAAAGAUAAUUGCAAUGUGUUACUGCGAACCAAUUUAAACCUGUAUUUCUCAUUGCAUUUAAUAUUUAAUUUUGUUUUUUAUCAUUAUAUAUCAACAGUUCUUUCUGGAGCAAAGCAAUCCUAUUUGACUUUUUUUUUUUUUAACCUUAUAGUGCACACACACAUGUAUGUGUAGGGUUAUUUAAACAAGGAAACAUUUACAUCAAAAUGUGCAAAGAGUUAUCCUGGAAUAGAAAUGCUGAAAAUAUAUUUUCAAGAAGUUUUAAAAUUCUAGGCUGGCCUCAAUGUAUUCAGUAGCAUGCCAGAAACAGAAAAAAAAAUUUAAUCUCUCCAUUUGCUUAUUCCUAUUAACAUAUAUAGAAAAAAAACUUGCUCUAAACCUAAUGCCUAUGCGAUAUGUUUGUUUCCUGAUGCUGAUGAUAAAUCAUAACCGGGCACUUGGUUAUAUUUUUUAAUGUUCUACAUUUCUAGCACUGCUACUGUAUUCACAAUGAGCUUUAUAUCUGACAGUAAUUUUAUUUUCAGGUUCAGUCAUAUGAUGCCUUUCUAUAGGAAUAGGUUCUAUCACAGGAACAAAUUAUUCAAAUCUAGUUUAACGGACUCAGCAAUUCUCCUCAGUUUUAUCUUGGGCAUUUUGUAUUCCUUUGCCUAAACCUAGUGGCUAUGUAACAAUUCAAUUACCAAAGUCCUUCAUCCAGAAAGUGCUGUUGAUUUCCAGUAAUUCUUAUUCUGUUUGAUUUCUUUUUUUUUUCCUCCUAGUUUAACACAUGCCAGUUGGUGUCGACUGAGUUAAAAAUCUUGAAAUAAGCCUGGCACUGUGUCAGUACAUAGGUUAAAAAAUGAAACAAAAAAAUUUAAUAAAAUAUACGCUAGAAAUGGAAAAUAAGAUUAGCAGUGGCAUUUCUUGUCAUAAGGACAUUUUCUGUCUAUGCACACAAAAUAAAACCAGCUCAGUGUAGCUGAAGAAGAGAGGAAAGAGAGAGGUGGUAUAAAUUGAAAGACGAAAAGGCAGAGACUGAGUGUACAGAAGCGCGUUGAGAGCAUGCAGUCAGCUGGCAAGAAAAGGCAACUCGAAGAGCCUCAGAAGGUAAAACCUCAGUUGGCAGAUAAAGUGGGUAAGAAGCAAGUUUUGAAAUAAAAUAGCAAUAGCAUAAGCAACUUGAAGGAAGAUGAAAAGAGCAAGGUGAUAAAAGUAUGCAAGAGUCUUUGGAGAUUAUUAGUAAUUUUAGGGAAUUACAAUGAUGAAAAGUUAUAAGGGAAAAAGACUUUACAUAUUCUUUAAUAAAAGAAAAUUACCUGUCAAAAUCUGUCUGCAUAGACACUAGUAUUAGAUUCUUGUUCUUCAAGAAAAAGGCAUGUCUGCUGGUCAGGCUGAGGUAUCAUCUAUCCUCUAUUUCUCUAAAUAAUGUUUUUCUGAUAAAAUAUGCAAAUACACAAUACACAUAUAUAUUUUGUGUGUAUAUUAUGUGUAUAUGUGUGUGUGUGUACAUACUUAUACAUAAAAUAAACACUCUGGAACUAAAAUUUCAAAGAAAGUCAAAGAAAAUAGACAAUAGUGGAACUCCACAAAACUUACCAGUAACCUGAAAUAGUGUAACAAAUUUAAAAUUAAUUCCCAUAAAUCUUCUACAU